CCGCCGAUUCCGCAGAACGCUCCCGCCCCUCCUUGCCUCCCUCUAGCGGCAGCGCGAAGAGCGUUUACACUGCAGCUUGACAAAUGCUGAUGCCACCACUGCUGAAACUCCACUCCUCAAAUGUAAAUAUUUGCUGAAGGUUAAUCUUGCUUUACCAGGACAAAAGGAAAUUUAUCUCCAUCUCAGAACUGACAGGACAGAGGAACCUUCCAGCAAGCCUCACACCUGCCUUCAGAAGGAGCAAGCACAUCAUGAUGCUGAGCUCCCCUCUGACCACAGACACAGCUCUAAAGACACAGCUCUAAAGACACACCCACCUACCUGCUGAAGGGGGUGAGACCAGGGCAAGGAGCAACUUCUCCUAAAAUAAGCACUCACUCUCUGUCUUACCCAUAAGCAGCUCCAUAAGUACUGAUAGAAUCGUCUGCUUUAUAUUUCUCCUAGCCUCCUAGUUCCCUAGACUCUGGCCCUCUAGACCAGCAUAACCUGUUUUAGCUUCUCUCUCACCUGGGUUCCCUGGGCUUGACUUCUGGCCUCCUGGACCUCUGGGCAUUGCCUUGGAGCGCAGGCUGGGGUUCUGAAGCUCAGCGUUUGCUCACACACCCUCGCCAUCUGCAGACUGCCCCUGUCUGGCCCGAUGAGGUUCUGCAUCCUGGCCAUUUGCCCAAGCCUUGGCACACAGUGGUCACAGUUUAAGGAAUCAGUUUGGAACCUGCCUGCCAGCUCCUGCCUUCCUCAGCCCCUCCCAGCUGGAGCCAUGAGAUGCCAUCCUCCAGGCAACCUUGAGUGAGCAGUGCGUCUCCCAGUUCAAUGGGCAAACAACCCCACUGGGGAUCAGGCCAACAUGGAUAUUCUGAUUCAUUAGGUCUGAGGUGGGAUCAGAUAUCUGUGUUUCCAUGUGAUGUGAAUAGCUCAUGAACUUCACUUUGAGGAGUAAGAAUGAGAAUGUAUAGACUAGCAACCUCAUCCUCACCUGGGGAUAGGUCUGGAAUAGGUUGGUUGUAUUGUUGUUUUUUUAUUUGUUAAACAAUUUUCUAUGUGGCUAUUGCUGUGUUUCUCAGGUCCAUUCUUUGCUUUGAAGGAACUUACAGUCUAGUAGUGUUUAUUUUGAGCUUAUGUGCUUUAUAUACACUGAGAAGCCAGAGUAUUAUGACCACUCCAUCAGUAUUUCAUUGGGCCACCUUUUGCCUUCAAUACUGCGGCGAUUCUUCUUGGCAUUGACUCCACGAGAUGUUGAAAGGUGAUGCGAGGAAUCUGACACCAUGCCUGAUGAAUGGCACUGUCCAGUUCUGUGAGAUUUGAUGGCUGUGGAACCAGCUGCCUGAUGGCUCUUUUAACUUCGUCCCACAAAUGCUCAAUUGGAUUGAGAUCUGGUGAUUGU